GACGAACGCUGGCGGCGUGCCUAAUACAUGCAAGUAGAACGCUGAAGGAGGAGCUUGCUUCUCUGGAUGAGUUGCGAACGGGUGAGUAACGCGUAGGUAACCUGCCUGGUAGCGGGGGAUAACUAUUGGAAACGAUAGCUAAUACCGCAUAAGAGUAGAUGUCGCAUGACAUUUGCUUAAAAGGUGCAAUUGCAUCACUACCAGAUGGACCUGCGUUGUAUUAGCUAGUUGGUGAGGUAACGGCUCACCAAGGCAACGAUACAUAGCCGACCUGAGAGGGUGAUCGGCCACACUGGGACUGAGACACGGCCCAGACUCCUACGGGAGGCAGCAGUAGGGAAUCUUCGGCAAUGGACGGAAGUCUGACCGAGCAACGCCGCGUGAGUGAAGAAGGUUUUCGGAUCGUAAAGCCCUGUUGUAAGAGAAGAACGAGUGUGAGAGUGGAAAGUUCACACUGUGACGGUAUCUUACCAGAAAGGGACGGCUAACUACGUG
rnacentral:rRNA from 1 species